rnacentral:rRNA from 1 species
UGGCCUACGGGGGGCAGCAGUGGGGAAUAUUGCACAAUGGGGGAAACCCUGAUGCAGCGACGCCGCGUGAGUGAAGAAGUAUUUCGGUAUGUAAAGCUCUAUCAGCAGGAACGAGACAAGACGGUACCUGACUAAGAAGCCCCGGCUAACUACGUGCCAGCAGCCGCGGUAAUACGUAGGGGGCAAGCGUUAUCCGGAAUCACUGGGUGUAAUGGGAGCGUAGACGGCUGUGCAAGCCUGAUGUGUAAUGCGGGGGCCCAACCCCCGGUCUGCUUUGGUCACUG